UGGGGGCUCGGGCGGCAGCGCCCCCUGGCCGCGGGGCCCGGAAUCGCGCGCUCGGCCGCACCUGCCCCGGGCCUACCUGCGGCCGCGGCGGAGCACACCCGGAAAGCUGGUGCGCAGUGAACACACGAAACGCGUUCAGCCACCCUUGCGACGAAAUACAUGAACCGCAAACAACGAGGCGUCCCUGGCCACGCUCAGAUCGGCGGAGGCGACGGGGGACAGUGAAGAUCAUACUCCGCGCCCUGCCUGGGUGAGACGGGGGUGAUAACGCGCUGUUACGGGAUGCGCACCAGUGACCAGCUUUGGGGAAGGCAAUCAGAAAAUGCUCAUCAACACCCCUGAAAAAGGGCCGUAACUUUCUAGACACCUGCCCCUAAACACAGCGUCAGAGACACAGCCCAGGAGCGCACGGGUGGCCCCGCCGGCUGCGGGAGGAACUCCAGGUUUUGGCUGAGGUCAAAUCCCGCCGCAGGUUCCGUGCACAGCGUGGAGCCCAAGGCAGGCAUUGAACUCUCCACCCUGAAAUCAAGAUAUGAGCUGAGAUCAAGAAUCCCAGGCUUAACCCACUAAGCCACCCAGGAGUUCCCAAAUCAGCAAACACAUGCUCAGCUCGGCGACUGCUCCGGGAAUGGAAGAUUCGAUGGCUGCCCACCUGUGAGAGGCUUGUCCCUCUCCGAAUGCCAUUCAUCAAGGCUGCACGGCACCCGCCACUCCCGAUGCCACCAGAGAAGGAUUUUUAUUUGUGUGUGCGCAGAUUUAUAUUGUAUGAUCACCAGACUGAAAGUCUACUGACUCGUUCUACAAUAGGAGCAGAGUCAGAAGUCUCCUUGCAGAAAAAGCUUUAAAGCGGCAUAUAUAAUGUGUGAAAUAAUUCUUCGCUGCUCUAAUAGAAUCAUAUCCAACUUGGUUGUUUUUCUCCAAAGCCACUGAAGAUUUGGAGGAUUACUAAGCUAUUUGCAUUUUAUGAUACUGAUACUAGAAAAAGGUAUGUAUACUGUAUAUAACUAGAAUUAAAAUUAAAAGAAAAAAAGAAAAAUGUGUGUGUAGAG